UACGAACCGUGCAAACGUUGUUCGGAAUCACUGGGCUUAAAGGGCGCGUAGGCGGGUUCUCAAGUCGGGGGUGAAAACUUGCGGCUCAACCGUAAGAGUGCCUUCGAUACUGGGAGUCUUGAGGGAGGUGGGGGUCGAUGGAACUGGUGGUGGAGCGGUGAAAUGCGUAGAUAUCACUAGGAACGCCGGUGGCGAAAGCGAUCGACUGGACCUCUUCUGACGCUGAGGCGCGAAAGCCAGGGGAGCGAACGGG
rnacentral:rRNA from 1 species